CAUGUGUCACAGACAGGACUUUACUGGUGUAGAGGAGGAAGAGGAGACCCAAUUUACUACACAGAGUUUAGCGAGUCACUGAAAGUGGGCACACAGGGUGACCAAGCUGUCUAUGAAUCUCUGCCCCACAACAAAAACAUUGAAAUUGGGGAAGCAGCAGAUGAUGACUCUGCUCUUGCAUCUUGUGAUCAGGUGAUCUAACACGAAAC